rnacentral:rRNA from 1 species
UACAGAGGUCUCAAGCGUUGUUCGGAUUCAUUGGGCGUAAAGGGUGCGUAGGUGGCGUGGUAAGUCGGGUGUGAAAAUUUCGGAGCUUAACUCCGAAACUGCAUUCGAUACUGCUGUGCUUGAGGACUGGAGAGGAGACUGGAAUUUACGGUGUAGCAGUGAAAAUGCGUAGAGAUCGUAAGGAAGACCAGUGGCGAAGGCGGGGUCUCUGGACAGUUCCUGACACUGAGGCACGAAGGCCAGGGGAGCAAAACAGG